AUCGGGCCAAUAUCGGUGGUGUAAUAAUAUAAUGUUUGAACAUUUUCGCUGAAGUCUAAAUGUGUUGCCUGCGUACCUUCAUUACUUGAUUUUUACGCUUCCUUUGACUGGCAUUAUGACGUAUCUUGUAUACAAAUGGCAAUGGCAUAUGAAGUUGCUGCUAGUCGGGUCAAGUCGGUUCGAUUUUUCAAAUUGUUUCUCGUUUCAUCAUAGAUACCUUAUGGAUAGUCAUCUCUUUAAUUGUUUUAAUAUGACGUCAUAUUUUUGUUUCGGUUCAGUGACUCCGUUUGUUUGUGAACACAAAUUUGAGUUAUACGCGCUGUAUCUGUAUUGUUAUAUUUUUUGUUAAAAUCUAGAAUGGCUCCGUCAAAUUGCUCCGUUUCUGGCUGCCUCAAUAGUUACUUAAAAUCUAAAAGUAGUGGAAAUGAUAGUGUCUCCUUAUUUACGGUUUGACGUCCGGAUCUGGGAAAAACUGCAGAUGAAUCGAGAGUCGCUGACAAAAUUUUGUUGUCAGUUCGAGAUGUGAAAAAAGGAGAGAUAUUAUAAAACAAAUGUUACUAAAAGAGACGUAAGUUUGCUUUUUUCGUUUACUUUUUAUUUAACUGUAUCUAUUUUUUCGUUUACUUUUUAUUUAACUGUAUCUAUUAAAAAGUUGAAUUUUAGCGCAGCUAUAUGUGAGAGGCACUUACCCAGGAAAGAACCAGCCAAAACAGCUGAAGCUUGGUGCUAAACCAUAAAAAAAUUUGCUAAAGUCCACAGUUCGCAGUCACUCACCCAGGAACGAACCAGCCAUUAGACAAGUAGUUUUAAAAAUCAGGCAUCAGUACAUACAGGAUUUGCAGAAGUCACAAAUGAAAUUGUCAUAGAACCAUUAAAGGUAGUUUUCCAAAUGUAAUUAAAUUUAAAUUGUCUUGGCUACUCACUCAGCGUGUUAUUAUUUUUUUUUGUCCGGCGCCGUGCCGCAGGCGCUUUAUACCUGGCUGUCUAAGUUUAUAGCCGAAUUCAAAGAACCAGAUUUUUUGUUGCCCCGUAUCAGGUUAGUUACUGUUAGUCUGUUACUGAUGAUUUAUAUGUUUCAUAUGGUCUGAAUAAAGAAGAUGCUUAAAACAUUAAGAAUAUUUCUAUAUAAUGUACUUUCAGAAUUGAAUUUAAUGCUGCAGUAUCCCCACUAGCCCUCUGUGGAUGGACUGUCCCUACAACUAAGUUUAGUAUUGGAAAUGGACAAUAUGACACACUGUGCAGCUUACUCCGUGAAGCAGAAAAACUUAUUCU